rnacentral:rRNA from 1 species
UGGGGAAUAUUGGACAAUGGGCGAAAGCCUGAUCCAGCCAUGCCGCGUGUGUGAAGAAGGCCUUUUGGUUGUAAAGCACUUUAAGCGAGGAGGAGGCUACUUAGAUUAAUACUCUAGGAUAGUGGACGUUACUCGCAGAAUAAGCACCGGCUAACUCUGUGCCAGCAGCCGCGGUAAUACAGAGGGUGCGAGCGUUAAUCGGAUUUACUGGGCGUAAAGCGUGCGUAGGCGGCUUUUUAAGUCGGAUGUGAAAUCCCUGAGCUUAACUUAGGAAUUGCAUUCGAUACUGGGAAGCUAGAGUAUGGGAGAGGAUGGUAGAAUUCCAGGUGUAGCGGUGAAAUGCGUAGAGAUCUGGAGGAAUACCGAUGGCGAAGGCAGCCAUCUGGCCUGAUACUGACGCUGAGGUACGAAAGCAUGGGGAGCAAACAGG